ACCAUGAUUGCACUGAAUGCUGAGAUCCCAGAAUAAUGUCAGUAUGUAAAAGAAUGAGAGAAUUGAUUUCUUGCGGUACUGUGACUCAAUUUACUGUAAUUGAUUCUUGGGUGGUUUUUUGAUCUAAUAUAGGCUGUUUCUAGGUUAUACAAUUAAUUUCUAUAUUCUACAAAUGUCUUUGAGGAAAUUUUGACCUUUUUUUUUGUAGGAGGAAGUAUUAUUGAAUAACUUCAUGCCAGAACUUUAUUCUAGUGGAAAAGCUUAAGUGGCCUUUCUGUUUCAGCAAAAAUACAUAAGCCUAUUUUAAAGUUUACUGUAAAUACUGUAUUUGUCAAAUUGAUAGAUUAGUUGGGUCACUCAUGAAACAAAGGCAAACAAAGCUUAAUUGAAACAGAAUGUGAUACUGUAUGGCAGAGAAGAUACAGCUCUGUAGGUGUUCUCUAAAAAGCGAAUACCACAUGUUGAAGUUUAAGCAAAUAUAACUAUGCAUUAGAAACAUUUCUCUGCACUCUGUUCUGCACCAGAAAUAAUAUGUAUGUUGGUAAGAGUCCCUUCAAAGCAAUAUGUGUUUGCGGCAUAUAAUAAUAACAGUUCCUGGAGAAUCAAGGAGGAAUGGAGGAGUACAAAGGAGACUAUUAUCUUCAAGUUAUUGACAAGUAAGUAAAAAGUCCUGUCAAGUUGGAAAUUUUUAUUAGUCACUAAACUUUGACUAAAUUAGUCACUACAGUCUUCCCACAACUUAAUUGCUGUUAGGAAGUGUAAAGAAAGACAGGCGUGAUAUUCCUGAAAUGGAAAUUAGAUCUUAAGGCAGUUCUAGAUGUCUAAAGUAUUGUAACUGAGAAUGAUCAGUUCUAGAUCCAGUAAACUGAAAAGUAAGAGCAAAGUCCGAGGAGGAUUUUGUAUUAAUGCACUUAAAAACAAUGCCAAAAUUUGGCCUAUACUUGAUUUAUAUGAAAUCUGUAAUAUAAUAUAUAUAAAAUUUGCAUAUUGGAGUUUAAUUUUUUAUGUACAGAUUUUUUCUUCUUACUGCAUUCCCUGAUAAAGCAAGUGUUCAUGAAAUAUAAACCAGCUUUGUCUGUGCAAGGCAAGGUUUUGUGUUAGUAGUAUUUCAGGAAAGAAUGCAGCUGUAACCCCCAGUAUCUCAAGCUCUUGGAGAACUACUUAAAAAAACAAAGCAAAACAAACAAACAAACAAAAACCUUUCAAAUGCAAGCCCUGAGUUAGUAGAGUAUCAUAUAAUGGUUGCUGUAUAAUAGUGUAGAACUGAUGUUUUAAAAAUUAAUACAUUGGAACUUUUUGUUAUAUUAUCCUUAAUGAUUUUGUACUCAUUGUACACUUCUGCAGUUGUCAACUAAUGUUUAAACUCAUAUUGACUGGUAACUGAAGUGUCUUAACUUCAUCUGCAAUGAGUGGAUAAUAAAGUAUUGUUGGAUUCA